rnacentral:rRNA from 1 species
UUUAAUGGCCGCAGUAUUUUGACUGUGCAAAGGUAGCAUAAUCAUUUGUUUUAUAAUUGAAAACUUGUAUGAAAGGUUGGACGAGAAAAUUACUUUCUAUAAUUAAUUUAAUUGAAUUUUAUUUUUAUGUAAAAAAGCAUAAAUUUUAUAAAAAGACGAGAAGACCCUAUAGAGUUUUAUAAUUUAUUUAUUAAUAUUUAAUUUGUAUUAUUUAAAUAUUUAUAAUUAAAUUAUUUUACUGGGGUGGUAGAAAAAUUUAUUUAACUUUAUUAUUAUUUUAACAUUAAUAUAUGAAUUAUUGAUCCUAAAUUUUAGAUUAUAAGAUUAAAUUACCUUAGGGAUAACAGCGUUAUUUCUUUAUAGAGUUCUUAUCGAUAAAGAAGAUUGCGACCUCGAUGUUGGAUUAAAAUUAAAUAUUGAUGUAGAAGUUAAUAUAUUAGGUCUGUUCGACCUUAAAAUUUUACAUGAUCUGAGUUUAGACCGGUGUGAGCCAGGUCGGUUUCUAUCUUUUAUAAUAUAAAAUAUUUUAGUACGAAAGGACCAAAUAUUUCUAAUAAUUAGUUUAUUUUGAUUAUUAUU